GCCGGGGUGGCGGAAUUGGCAGACGCGACGGAUUCAAAAUCCGUUUCCCGUAAGGGAGUGGGGGUUCGAGUCCCCCCCUCGGUACCA
rnacentral:tRNA from 1 species